CCAAUAGCGUAUAUUAAAGUUGUUGCAGUUAAAAAGCUCGUAGUUGAAUUUCGGGGUCGGCAAGUUGGUCGUGCCAUUGGUAUGUACUGGCUUUGUUGAUUCCUCCUUCUUGUAGAACCGUAAUGCCAUUUAGUUGGUGUUGCGGGGAAACAGGACUGUUACUUUGAAAAAAUUAGAGUGUUUAAAGCAGGCUAACGCUUGAAUACAUUAGCAUGGAAUAAUGAAAUAGGACGAGCGAUCCUAUUUUGUUGGUUUCUAGGAUUGACGUAAUGAUUAAUAGGGAUAGGUGGGGGCAUUAGUAUUCAAUUGUCAGAGGUGAAAUUCUUGGAUUUAUUGAAGACUAACGACUGCGAAAGCAUGUGCCAAGGAUGUUUUCAUUAAUCAAGAACGAAAGUUAGGGGAUCGAAGACGAGCAGAUACCGUCGUAGUCUUAACCAUAAACUAUGCCGACGAGGGAUCGGAUGAUGUUAAUUUUAUAAUGACUCAUUCGGCGCCUUACG
rnacentral:rRNA from 1 species